ensembl:lncRNA
UUUGGGGAUACCAAUACACGAAUGCCUUACAUAUCUUCACAUGUGAUGUUACAGUGUUAAGACACUCACAGACUUGACAGCUACUUUCUGUUCUGAAAACAUCCCAAGUUUCAAUCUACCCUAGCACACAAACUUUUGAUGAGCAACCAGAAAAUAAUUGCCAUGUCAGAAAUGGCACAUUUUGAGACCCCUGGACAAUGCACUGAUUACCCCUUCUUUCUACUUUCUGACACCUGACCCCAAAGGUUCUGGACACACCAAUGAAUUCUCUGAGAAAAUAAGAAAUCCUGCUCUAUUACAGAAAAACCGUGAGGCUACAAAGACUGUUUCUUUUUGUUUGUUUGUCAGUUUGUGACAGUUAAACCAUGGGGAAAAUGAAAUGCUGUGAAACGGAUUGUCUUGAUUGUAGUAAUUUCUUUUUCAAGCUGAGAAAACAGAAAGGUCACCUAAGUGGCGUGCAUGAAUGGGGGGAAAAAAGAAGAUUACA